GGGGUUGUAGCUCAGAUGGCUAGAGCACUUGUUUUGCAAUCAAGAUGUCGUGGGUUCGAGUCCCACCUUCUCCA
rnacentral:tRNA from 1 species